rnacentral:tRNA from 1 species
GGGGAACUAGUCUAACUUAAGACAGCUGAUUUCGGCUCACCAAAUUAUGGUUAAAACCCAUAGUUCCCUUC